rfam:Triticum aestivum genome assembly, contig: Triticum_aestivum_CS42_TGACv1_scaffold_221694_3B
UAUGUACUCCCUUCAUCCGGAAAUACUUGUCAUUGAAAUGGAUGUAUCUAGAUGUAUUUCAGUUCAAGAUACAUCUAUUUUCAUCCAUUUUGAUGACAAGUAAUUCCAGACAGAGGGAGUAGUUU